rnacentral:rRNA from 1 species
UACGUAGGUGGCAAGCGUUGUCCGGAAUUAUUGGGCGUAAAGCGCGCGCAGGUGGUUUCUUAAGUCUGAUGUGAAAGCCCACGGCUCAACCGUGGAGGGUCAUUGGAAACUGGGGAACUUGAGUGCAGGAGAGAAGAGUGGAAUUCCACGUGUAGCGGUGAAAUGCGUAGAGAUGUGGAGGAACACCAGUGGCGAAGGCGACUCUUUGGCCUGUAACUGACACUGAGGCGCGAAAGCGCGGGGAGCAAACAGG